ACAAGGCGGUGGAUGAUGUGGAUUAAUUCGAUGCAACGCGAAAAACCUUACCUACCCUUGACAUGCCAGGAACUUGCCAGAGAUGGGCUUGGUGCCCGAAAGGGGAGCCUGGACACAGGUGCUGCAUGGCUGUCGUCAGCUCGUGUCGUGAGAUGUUGGGUUAAGUCCCGCAACGAGCGCAACCCUUGUCGUUAAUUGCCAUCAUUUGGUUGGGGCACUUUAACGAGACUGCCGGUGACAAACCGGAGGAAGGUGGGGAUGACGUCAAGUCCUCAUGGCCCUUAUGGGUAGGGCUUCACACGUCAUACAAUGGUCGGUACAGAGGGUUGCCAAGCCGUGAGGCGGAGCCAAUCCCAGAAAGCCGAUCGUAGUCCGGAUUGCAGGCUGCAACUCGCCUGCAUGAAGUCGGAAUCGCUAGUAAUCGCGGAUCAGCAUGUCGCGGUGAAUACGUUCCCGG
rnacentral:rRNA from 1 species